rnacentral:rRNA from 1 species
AUUCCCCUAGUAACUGCGAGUGAAGCGGGAAAAGCUCAAAUUUAAAAUCUGGCGGUCUCCGGCCGUCCGAGUUGUAAUUUAGAGAAGCGUUAUCCGUGCUGGACCGUGUAUAAGUCUCCUGGAAUGGAGCGUCAUAGAGGGUGAGAAUCCCGUCUUUGACACGGACUACCAGUGCAUUGUGAUGCGCUCUCGACGAGUCGAGUUGUUUGGGAAUGCAGCUCAAAAUGGGUGGUAAAUGCCAUCUAAAGCUAAAUAUUGGCGAGAGACCGAUAGCGAACAAGUACCGUGAGGGAAAGAUGAAAAGAACUUUGGAAAGAGAGUUAAACAGUACGUGAAAUUGUCGAAAGGGAAACGGUUGCAGUCAGUCGCGUCCGCCGGGGAUCAACCUUGCUUUUGCUUGGCGUAUUUCCCGGUGGAUGGGUCAGCAUCAGUUUUGACCGCAGUUGAAAGGCUGGAGGAAUGUGGCACCUUCGGGUGUGUUAUAGCCUCCUGUCAUAUGCUGCGGUUGGGACUGAGGAACUCAGCACGCCGAAAGGCCGGGAUUCGUCCACGUUCGUGCUUAGGAUGCUGGCAUAAUGUCUGUAACCGACCCGUCUUGAAACACGGACCAAGGAGUCUAACAUGCACGCGAGUGUUUGGGUGGCAAACCCGAGCGCGUAAUGAAAGUGAAAGUUGAGACCUCUGUCGUGGAGGGCAUCGACGCCCGGACCAGAACUUUUGGGACGGAUCCGCGGUAGAGCGUGUAUGUUGGGACCCGAAAGAUGGUGAACUAUGCCUGAAUAGGGCGAAGCCAGAGGAAACUCUGGUGGAGGCUCGUAGCGAUUCUGACGUGCAAAUC